rnacentral:rRNA from 1 species
UACGUAGGGUCCGAGCGUUGUCCGGAAUUAUUGGGCGUAAAGGGCUCGUAGGCGGUUUGUCACGUCGGGAGUGAAAACUCAGGGCUUAACCCUGAGCCUGCUUCCGAUACGGGCAGACUAGAGGUAUGCAGGGGAGAACGGAAUUCCUGGUGUAGCGGUGAAAUGCGCAGAUAUCAGGAGGAACACCGGUGGCGAAGGCGGUUCUCUGGGCAUUACCUGACGCUGAGGAGCGAAAGUGUGGGGAGCGAACAGG